AGUAGGAUGUCUGAUUUAGGUAAUAAAUUGUAAAUUUAUUUAAGGAAUUUUUCCUCCUAUUA
rnacentral:tRNA from 1 species